GACAUGGCUGAGUUUACAUCAAUCUUCAAUUCCUUUUUUUUAAUAUAUGUAUAUAUAAACCUGUGCAUUGAUUUCUGAAGAACUAAACAUUUAACCUCUAUUUUAAGUCCUAAAAGAUUACUGCCUUGAUGCCUUUCAGUAGUCAAAAGCUCUGUUUUCAUAUCUAGAAAGCAGAAAACAACAAUGGGUGAAAUAAGUGGGACCGGAGCUUCAUGGGAGCUGCCCUUCCAAACAUCCAUGCGUUAAUGAGGUUCCACUUCCUAAUGACAAUACUGGGUUAUUUGGUAACAAGCUGAUCAAAGUACAUGAUGAUCAGGAGGAGCAUGAUCUCCUCAAACA
rnacentral:lncRNA from 1 species